UACGGAGGAUUCGAGCGUUGUCCGGAUUUAUUGGGUUUAAAGGGUGCGUAGGCGGAUGACUUAGUCAGAGGUGAAAGCCGGCAGCUUAACUGUCGAAUUGCCUUUGAAACUGGUCAUCUUGAGUAUGGUUGAGGUGGGCGGAAUGUGACAUGUAGCGGUGAAAUGCUUAGAGAUGUUACAGAACACCAAUUGCGAAGGCAGCUCACUAAACCAUUACUGACGCUGAGGCACGAAAGCGUGGGGAUCAAACAGG
rnacentral:rRNA from 1 species